rnacentral:rRNA from 1 species
GUGUCAGCAGCCGCGGUAAUACGAAGGGUGCUAGCGUUGUUCGGAAUCACUGGGCGUAAAGCGCGCGUAGGCGGCUUUACAAGUCAGGGGUGAAAUCCCAGAGCUUAACUCUGGAAUUGCCUUUGAAACUGUAGAGCUAGAGUACUGGAGGGGUUGGCGGAAUUCCUAAUGUAGAGGUGAAAUUCGUAGAUAUUAGGAGGAACACCGGUGGCGAAGGCGGCCAACUGGACAGUAACUGACGCUCUGGCGCGAAAGCGUGGGUAUCAAACAGGAUUAGAUACCCUGGUAGUCC